UACGAAGGUCCCAAGCGUUGUUCGGAAUCACUGGGCGUAAAGGGAGCGUAGGCGGCGUGGUAAGUCAGAUGUGAAAUCCCGGGGCUCAACCCCGGAACUGCAUCCGAUACUGCCAUGCUUGAGGGUUGGAGAGGUAGCUGGAAUUAUCGGUGUAGCAGUGAAAUGCGUGGAUAUCGAUAGGAACACUCGUGGCGAAGGCGAGCUACUGGACAACAUCUGACGCUGAGGCGCGAAAGCCAGGGGAGCGAACGGG
rnacentral:rRNA from 1 species